AAUGAACGUUGGCGGCAUGGAUUAGGCAUGCAAGUCGCGCGAUAAGAUUCCUUCGGGAAUCCGAAAGCGGCGAAAGGGAGAGUAACGCGUAGAUGAUCUACCCCGAGGACUGGGAUAGCGGCGGGAAACUGCCGGUAAUACCAGAUGAUGUCUCCGGACCAAAGGUGUGAUUCCGCCUUGGGAUGAAUCUGCGUCCUAUUAGCUAGUUGGUGAGGUAACGGCUCACCAAGGCGAAGAUGGGUACCGGGUGUGAGAGCAUGACCCGGCUCACUGGGACUGAGACACUGCCCAGACACCUACGGGUGGCUGCAGUCGAGAAUCUUCGGCAAUGGGCGAAAGCCUGACCGAGCAGUGCCGCGUGCGGGAUGAAGGCC
rnacentral:rRNA from 1 species